rnacentral:tRNA from 1 species
GCCCCCGUAGCUCAGUGGUAGAGCAGGGCUUUUGUAAAGCUCAGGUCGCAAGUUCAAAUCUUGUCAGGGGCUCCU